rnacentral:tRNA from 2 species
CAGGAAGUAGUUUAUGG